rnacentral:rRNA from 1 species
GAUGAACGCUGGCGGCGUGCUUAACACAUGCAAGUCGAACGGAAAGGCCACAGCUUGCUGUGGUACUCGAGUGGCGAACGGGUGAGUAACACGUGGGUGAUCUGCCCUGUACUUCGGGAUAAGCUUGGGAAACUGGGUCUAAUACCGGAUAGGAAUCACAUGUGGGUGUGUGGUUGGAAAGCUUUUGCGGUAUGGGAUGAGCUCGCGGCUUAUCAGCUUGUUGGUGGGGUAAUGGCCUACCAAGGCGUCGACGGGUAGCCGGCCUGAGAGGGUGUACGGCCACAUUGGGACUGAGAUACGGCCCAGACUCCUACGGGAGGCAGCAGUGGGGAAUAUUGCACAAUGGGCGCAAGCCUGAUGCAGCGACGCCGCGUGGGGGAUGACGGCCUUCGGGUUGUAAACUCCUUUCGUCAGGGACGAAGCGAAAGUGACGGUAACUGGAUAAGAAGCACCGGCUAACUACGUG